rnacentral:rRNA from 1 species
GUAGGGGGCGAGCGUUGUCCGGAUUUAUUGGGCGUAAAGAGCUCGUAGGCGGUUCGAUAAGUCGGGUGUGAAAACUCUGGGCUCAACCCAGAGACGCCACUCGAUACUGUUGUGACUUGAGUCCGGUAGGGGAGUAUGGAAUUCCCGGUGUAGCGGUGAAAUGCGCAGAUAUCGGGAGGAACACCAGUGGCGAAGGCGGUACUCUGGGCCGGAACUGACGCUGAGGAGCGAAAGCGUGGGUAGCGAACAGGAUUAGAUACCCUGGUAGUCCACGCCGUAAACGUUGGGCACUAGGUGUGGGUCUCAACCAACGGGAUCCGUGCCGCAGCUAACGCAUUAAGUGCCCCGCCUGGGGAGUACGGCCGCAAGGCUAAA